CAGUCGCCACGGUAAUACGAAGGGUGCAAGCGUUAAUCGGAAUUACUGGGCGUAAAGCGCACGCAGGCGGUCUGUCAAGUCAGAUGUGAAAUCCCCGGGCUUAACCUGGGAACUGCAUUUGAAACUGGCAGGCUAGAGUCUUGUAGAGGGGGGUAGAAUUCCAGGUGUAGCGGUGAAAUGCGUAGAGAUCUGGAGGAAUACCGGUGGCGAAGGCGGCCCCCUGGACAAAGACUGACGCUCAGGUGCGAAAGCGUGGGGAGCAAACAGGAUUAGAUACCCCGGUAGUCCCUGUCUCUUAUAC
rnacentral:rRNA from 1 species